UGAGGAAUAUUGGUCAAUGGGCGUAAGCCUGAACCAGCCAUCCCGCGUGCAGGAAGAAGGCGCUAUGCGUCGUAAACUGCUUUUCCAGGGGAAGAAAACCUGAUACGUGUAUCGGCUUGCCGGUACCCUGGGAAUAAGCAUCGGCUAACUCCGUGCCAGCAGCCGCGGUAAUACGGAGGAUGCGAGCGUUAUCCGGAUUUAUUGGGUUUAAAGGGUGCGUAGGCGGAUUAAUAAGUCAGUGGUGAAAACCUGCAGCUUAACUGUAGAAUUGCCAUUGAUACUGUUAGUCUUGAGUACGGUCAAGGUAGGCGGAAUGUGUAAUGUAGCGGUGAAAUGCUUAGAUAUUACACAGAACACCGAUUGCGAAGGCAGCUUACUGGGCCAUUACUGACGCUGAUGCACGAAAGCGUGGGGAGCGAACAGG
rnacentral:rRNA from 1 species